UACGAAGGGGGCUAGCGUUGCUCGGAAUCAUUGGGCGUAAAGGGCGCGUAGGUGGCGGGACAAGCGUGCGGUGAAAGCCUGGGGCUCAACCCCGGGUCGGCCGUGCGAACUGUUUUGCUUGAGCACUGUAGAGGCAGGCGGAAUUCCGGGUGUAGCGGUGGAAUGCGUAGAGAUCCGGAAGAACACCGGUGGCGAAGGCGGCCUGCUGGGCAGUAGCUGACACUGAGGCGCGACAGCGUGGGGAGCAAACAGG
rnacentral:rRNA from 1 species